rnacentral:rRNA from 1 species
GACGAACGCUGGCGGCGUGCCUAAUACAUGCAAGUAGAACGCUGAAGGAGGAGCUUGCUUCUCUGGAUGAGUUGCGAACGGGUGAGUAACGCGUAGGUAACCUGCCUGGUAGCGGGGGAUAACUAUUGGAAACGAUAGCUAAUACCGCAUAAGAGUAGAUGUCGCAUGACAUUUGCUUAAAAGGUGCAAUUGCAUCACUACCAGAUGGACCUGCGUUGUAUUAGCUAGUUGGUGAGGUAACGGCUCACCAAGGCAACGAUACAUAGCCGACCUGAGAGGGUGAUCGGCCACACUGGGACUGAGACACGGCCCAGACUCCUACGGGAGGCAGCAGUAGGGAAUCUUCGGCAAUGGACGGAAGUCUGACCGAGCAACGCCGCGUGAGUGAAGAAGGUUGUCGGAUCGUAAAGCUCUGUUGUAAGAGAAGAACGAGUGUGAGAGUGGAAAGUUCACACUGUGACGGUAGCUUACCAGAAAGGGACGGCUAACUACGUG